UACGUAGGGUGCGAGCGUUGUCCGGAAUUAUUGGGCGUAAAGAGCUCGUAGGCGGUCUGUCGCGUCUGCUGUGAAAACCCGAGGCUCAACCUCGGGCCUGCAGUGGGUACGGGCAGACUAGAGUGCGGUAGGGGAGACUGGAAUUCCUGGUGUAGCGGUGAAAGUGCGCAGAUAUCAGGAGGAACACCGGUGGGCGAAGGCGGGGUCUCUGGGCCGUAACUGGACGCUGGAGGAGCGGAAAGCAUGGGGAGCGAACAGG
rnacentral:rRNA from 1 species